UGGGUAACCUGCCCCUGACUCUGGGAUAACCCCGGGAAACCGGGAGCUAAUACCGGAUACGAACCACUCAGGCAUCUGAGAGGUUGGAAAGAUUUAUCGGUCAGGGAUGGACUCGCGGCCUAUCAGCUUGUUGGUGGGGUAAUGGCCCACCAAGGCGACGACGGGUAGCCGGCCUGAGAGGGCGACCGGCCACACUGGGACUGAGACACGGCCCAGACUCCGUACGGGAGGCA
rnacentral:rRNA from 1 species